rnacentral:rRNA from 1 species
ACUCUAAGCGGUGGAUCACUCGGCUCAUGGGUCGAUGAAGAACGCAGCAAACUGUGCGUCAUCGUGUGAACUGCAGGACACAUGAACAUCGACAUUUUGAACGCAUAUCGCAGUCCAUGCUGUUAUGUACUUUAAUUAAUUUUAUAGUGCUGCUUGGACUACAUAUGGUUGAGGGUUGUAAGACUAUGCUAAUUAAGUUGCUUAUAAAUUUUUAUAAGCAUAUGGUAUAUUAUUGGAUAAAUAUAAUAAUUUUUAUUCAUAAUAUUAAAAAAUAAAUGAAAAACAUUAUCUCACAUUUGAAUGUGAAAAACGAAGAGAAAUAUUUUCUUUUUCAAUCAAAUAAUACUGAGAAAUGUCUAGCAUAAAAAAUUGAAAUAUUUUUCAUCUAGAAUUGUCUCUUAUUAAUGAUUCGGAAAUAGAAAAAUCUUGGUUAUGUUAUUAUUCUUCGUUGGUUCGUUAAAAAUGGAUAAAUAAAAACUUUGCAUACAAGAAUUAAUAAAAAUGUUAUAACGAAUUUAAUUAAAUGUUUUAUCAUUAUAUAUAAAGAAUUUAUGGCAAGAUAAAGUUAUAUACAACCUCAACUCAUAUGGGACUACCCCCUGAAUUUAAGCAUAUUAAUUAGGGGAGGAAAAGAAACUAACAAGGAUUUUCUUAGUAGCGGCGAGCGAAAAGAAAACAGUUCAGCACUAAGUCACUUUGUCUAUAUGGCAAAUGUGAGAUGCAGUGUAUGGAGCGUCAAUAUUCUAGUAUGAGAAAUUAACGAUUUAAGUCCUUCUUAAAUGAGGCCAUUUACCCAUAGAGGGUGCCAGGCCCGUAUAACGUUAAUGAUUACUAGAUGAUGUUUCCAAAGAGUCGUGUUGCUUGAUAGUGCAGCACUAAGUGGGUGGUAAACUCCAUCUAAAACUAAAUAUAACCAUGAGACCGAUAGUAAACAAGUACCGUGAGGGAAAGUUGAAAAGAACUCUGAAUAGAGAGUUAAACAGUACGUGAAACUGCUUAGAGGUUAAGCCCGAUGAACCUGAAUAUCCGUUAUGGAAAAUUCAUCAUUAAAAUUGUAAUAUUUAAAUAAUAUUAUGAGAAUAGUGUGCAUUUUUUCCAUAUAAGGACAUUGUAAUCUAUUAGCAUAUACCAAAUUUAUCAUAAAAUAUAACUUAUAGUUUAUUCCAAUUAAAUUGCUUGCAUUUUAACACAGAAUAAAUGUUAUUAAUUUGAUAAAGUGCUGAUAGAUUUAUAUGAUUACAGUGCGUUAAUUUUUCGGAAUUAUAUAAUGGCAUAAUUAUCAUUGAUUUUUGUGUUUAUUAUAUGCACUUGUAUGAUUAACAAUGCGAAAGAUUCAGGAUACCUUCGGGACCCGUCUUGAAACACGGACCAAGGAGUCUAACAUAUGUGCAAGUUAUUGGGAUAUAAACCUAAUAGCGUAAUUAACUUGACUAAUAAUGGGAUUAGUUUUUUAGCUAUUUAUAGCUAAUUAACACAAUCCCGGGGCGUUCUAUAUAGUUAUGUAUAAUGUAUAUUUAUAUUAUUUAUGCCUCUAACUGGAACGUACCUUGAGCAUAUAUGCUGUGACCCGAAAGAUGGUGAACUAUACUUGAUCAGGUUGAAGUCAGGGGAAACCCUGAUGGAAGACCGAAACAGUUCUGACGUGCAAAUCGAUUGUCAGAAUUGAGUAUAGGGGCGAAAGACCAAUCGAACCAUCUAGUAGCUGGUUCCUUCCGAAGUUUCCCUCAGGAUAGCUGGUGCAUUUUAAUAUUAUAUAAAAUAAUCUUAUCUGGUAAAGCGAAUGAUUAGAGGCCUUAGGGUCGAAACGAUCUUAACCUAUUCUCAAACUUUAAAUGGGUAAGAACCUUAACUUUCUUGAUAUGAAGUUCAAGGUUAUGAUAUAAUGUGCCCAGUGGGCCACUUUUGGUAAGCAGAACUGGCGCUGUGGGAUGAACCAAACGUAAUGUUACGGUGCCCAAAUUAACAACUCAUGCAGAUACCAUGAAAGGCGUUGGUUGCUUAAAACAGCAGGACGGUGAUCAUGGAAGUCGAAAUCCGCUAAGGAGUGUGUAACAACUCACCUGCCGAAGCAACUAGCCCUUAAAAUGGAUGGCGCUUAAGUUGUAUACCUAUACAUUACCGCUAAAGUAGAUGAUUUAUAUUACUUGUGAUAUAAAUUUUGAAACUUUAGUGAGUAGGAAGGUACAAUGGUAUGCGUAGAAGUGUUUGGCGUAAGCCUGCAUGGAGCUGCCAUUGGUACAGAUCUUGGUGGUAGUAGCAAAUAAUCGAAUGAGACCUUGGAGGACUGAAGUGGAGAAGGGUUUCGUGUGAACAGUGGUUGAUCACGAGUUAGUCGGUCCUAAGUUCAAGGCGAAAGCCGAAAAUUUUCAAGUAAAACAAAAAUGCCUAACUAUAUAAACAAAGCGAAUUAUAAUACACUUGAAUAAUUUUGAACGAAAGGGAAUACGGUUCCAAUUCCGUAACCUGUUGAGUAUCCGUUUGUUAUUAAAUAUGGGCCUCGUGCUCAUCCUGGCAACAGGAACGACCAUAAAGAAGCCGUCGAGAGAUAUCGGAAGAGUUUUCUUUUCUGUUUUAUAGCCGUACUACCAUGGAAGUCUUUCGCAGAGAGAUAUGGUAGAUGGGCUAGAAGAGCAUGACAUAUACUGUUGU